rnacentral:rRNA from 1 species
UACAGAGGGUGCGAGCGUUAAUCGGAAUUACUGGGCGUAAAGCGCGCGCAGGUGGCUCGCUAAGACAGAUGUGAAAGCCCCGGGCUCAACCUGGGAACUGCGUUUGUGACUGGCGGGCUAGAGUGCGGAAGAGGGAGGUGGAAUUCCACGUGUAGCAGUGAAAUGCGUAGAGAUGUGGAGGAACACCGAUGGCGAAGGCAGCCUCCUGGUCUAGCACUGACGCUCAUGCACGAAAGCGUGGGGAGCAAACAGG